UACGUAGGGUGCAAGCGUUGUCCGGAAUUAUUGGGCGUAAAGAGCUCGUAGGCGGUCUGUCGCGUCUGCUGUGAAAACUCAGGGCUUAACCCUGAGCUUGCAGUGGGUACGGGCAGACUAGAGUGCGGUAGGGGAGACUGGAAUUCCUGGUGUAGCGGUGAAAUGCGCAGAUAUCGGGAAGAACACCCGUGGCGAAGGCGGUUCUCUGGGACGGUACUGACGCUGAGACGCGAAAGCGUGGGGAGCGAACAGG
rnacentral:rRNA from 1 species